rnacentral:rRNA from 1 species
CAAGGAAUUUUCCACAAUGGACGAAAGUCUGAUGGAGCUACGCCGCGUGCGGGAUGACGCCUUUCGGGGUGUAAACCGCUUUUCAUGGGGACGCGGUACCCAUGGAAUAAGGAUCGGCUAACUACGUGCCAGCAGCCGCGGUAACACGUAGGGGGCAAGCGUUGUCCGGAUUUAUUGGGCGUAAAGAGCUCGUAGGUGGCUGAGUAAGUCGGAUGUUAAAUCCCCAGGCUCAACCUGGGACACCACCCGAUACUGCUCGGCUAGAGUCCGGUAGGGGAGCGUGGAAUUCCUGGUGUAGCGGUGAAAUGCGCAGAUAUCAGGAGGAACACCAGCGGCGAAGGCGGCGCUCUGGGCCGGUACUGACACUGAGGAGCGAAAGCGUGGGUAGCAAACAGGAUUAGAUACCCGGGUAGU